UUUUUUUUUGCUUUUUUUGUUCUUUUAAAAGAGUGUUA
rnacentral:sRNA from 1 species